rnacentral:rRNA from 1 species
UACUGACGCUGAGGUUCGAAAGCAUGGGUAGCGAACAGGAUUAGAUACCCUGGUAGUCCAUGCAGUAAACGAUGAGUGCUAGAUGUUGGGAAUUUAAAUUUCCAGUAUCGCAGUUAACGCGUUAAGCACUCCGCCUGGGAAGUACGGCCGCAAGGCUAAAACUCAAAUGAAUUGACGGGGACCCGCACAAGCGGUGGAUCAUGUGGUUUAAUUCGAAGAUACGCGAAGAACCUUACCGGCCCUUGACAUACCAAUCGCGGACUUAAGAGAUUAAGUCUUUCACUUCGGGUGGAUUGGAUACAGGUGCUGCAUGGCUGUCGUCAGCUCGUGUCGUGAGAUGUUGGGUUAAGUCCCGCAACGAGCGCAACCCUUACCUUCAAUUGCCAGCACAUUAUGGUGGGAACUUUGAAGGAACUGCCGGUGAUAAGCCGGAGGAAGGUGGGGAUGACGUCAAGUCCUCAUGGCCCUUACGGGCCGGGCUACACACGUGAUACAAUGGUAACUACAAAGGGCAGCGAAGGAGCGAUCUGGAGCAAAUCUCAAAAAGUUACCUCAGUUCGGAUUGUACUCUGCAACUCGAGUGCAUGAAGUUGGAAUCGCUAGUAAUCGUAGAUCAGCGCGCUACGGUGAAUACGUUCCCGGGUCUUGUACACACCGCCCGUCACACCAUGGGAGUUGGUUUUACCUGAAGCUGGUUCGCUAACCGUAAGGAGGCAGCCAACCACGGUAAGAUUAAAGAGUGGGGUGAAGUCGUAACAAGGUAACCGUA